UCUUUACAGCUUUUACAUUAAUGCUAGCAAGACAAAUCUUUGUUUGGCUUGCUUGCUUUGUUUGUAUCAAUGUUUGCUCAAGCAUGGUAAUUAAGAUAGGCGGGGCUUCAGCUUGUAUACAUCAUACUUAAAUUUUAUUGGACGUUAUGUUGGAGGUUAAGGACACUAAAUUUUAAAACCUCACAUGAUACAUAUUCUCAUAUGUUUCCUUACCUGUAAAUAAAAAUACAGACAGGAUUCUACUUCGUCGAAAUUAUCUUCCUAUUACGCCAGUUCAUUUUCACAAUCGUAGAAACGGAAGACAAUUUUUUUUUUCAGAGAUCCAACUUAAAGACUGUCGACAAGCACUUUUAGUAAAUUAGCUAUUCGAACACACCUACUCUGAUUUUGUGAUCCACUGGAUAGGUAUUUCACUUGACCCCUAUGUUUCAUCUUUUAGUACUGUGAUUUUUUUUAUGUUAUAAAGUCAACCUGUAUAGCUUUGCUAUAUAAAAUGAUAGAGUCUGAAGCGAGAUGGUGUAUCAAAUACUCUUGUUUUGUACAUUUUCAAGAUAUUCAUCUCAAACACACCCUAACAUAAAAAAGGUGCACUCGAUUUUCUCUUUUCGAUACAAUUGUUUCCCAUUUUUUGGAAUAUUUUCUUGAGUUGCAUAAUCGAAGGACAGACAUGGAAAUAACUGACUGAACUAAUAGAUUGACAUGUUAUAAAAAACAAUAUUAGGUCAAUUAAUGUCGAAGGCCAGUUUCUCAGCCUCAUACAAGAAAAAAGUUUAUAUUUUUCUUUCAUUGACAAAUUAUUGUAUUUUUACAGGUGAGAAAACAUGUGAGAAUAUUUGUCAUGUGAUGUUUUAAAAUUAAGUGUCCUUAACCUCAAACAUAACGUCCAAUAAUCUAAGUAUGAUGUAUACAAGCUGAAGCCCCGCCUAUCUUAAUUACCAUGCUUGAGCAAACACUGAUACAAACAAAGCAAGCAAGCCAAACAAAGAUUUGUCUUGCUAGCAUUAAUGUAAAAGCUGUAAUG
rnacentral:lncRNA from 1 species